AACCGCGGACGGUUUUCCCGUUGCACAUUUCGGAUUCCUCCCUCCCGCCGGCAAGAUGGCGGCGCCCGUGUUGAGAUGCUGCUGGAGGACAGUUUCAGCUCAAUGCCCUAGCCGUAUUUUCCCCAGAAUUGGUCAGCAUUCUGCAGUGCUUCCCAGUUUUGCCAGUUUGCUGAUUUCCAAUAGACACUAUGCUGCAAA